rnacentral:rRNA from 1 species
GAUGAACGCUGGCGGCGUGCCUAAUACAUGCAAGUCGAGCGAACGGACGAGAAGCUUGCUUCUCUGAUGUUAGCGGCUGACGGGUGAGUAACACGUGGAUAACCUACCUAUAAGACUGGGAUAACUUCGGGAAACCGGAGCUAAUACCGGAUAAUAUUUUGAACCGCAUGGUUCAAAAGUGAAAGACGGUCUUGCUGUCACUUAUAGAUGGAUCCGCGCUGCAUUAGCUAGUUGGUAAGGUAACGGCUUACCAAGGCAACGAUGCAUAGCCGACCUGAGAGGGUGAUCGGCCACACUGGAACUGAGACACGGUCCAGACUCCUACGGGAGGCAGCAGUAGGGAAUCUUCCGCAAUGGGCGAAAGCCUGACGGAGCAACGCCGCGUGAGUGAUGAAGGUCUUCGGAUCGUAAAACUCUGUUAUUAGGGAAGAACAUAUGUGUAAGUAACUGUGCACAUCUUGACGGCACCUAAUCAGAAAGCCACGGCUAACUACGUG